rnacentral:rRNA from 3 species
UCUCCUGGAAAACGGGUGGUAAUGCCGGAUGCUCCAGUUGAUCGCAUGGUCUUCUGGGAAAGCUUUCGCGGUAUGGGAUGGGGUCGCGUCCUAUCAGCUUGACGGCGGGGUAACGGCCCACCGUGGCUUCGACGGGUAGCCGGCCUGAGAGGGCGACCGGCCACAUUGGGACUGAGAUACGGCCCAGACUCCUACGGGAGGCAGCAGUGGGGAAUAUUGCACAAUGGGCGCAAGCCUGAUGCAGCGACGCCGCGUGAGGGAUGGAGGCCUUCGGGUUGUAAACCUCUUUUAUCGGGGAGCAAGCGAGAGUGAGUUUACCCGUUGAAUAAGCACCGGCUAACUACGUGCCAGCAGCCGCGGUAAUACGUAGGGUGCAAGCGUUAUCCGGAAUUAUUGGGCGUAAAGGGCUCGUAGGCGGUUCGUCGCGUCCGGUGUGAAAGUCCAUCGCUUAACGGUGGAUCCGCGCCGGGUACGGGCGGGCUUGAGUGCGGUAGGGGAGACUGGAAUUCCCGGUGUAACGGUGGAAUGUGUAGAUAUCG